GCAUUUUGCAAUAUUGAACUUCUAGGACAUCCAAAAGAGGGUUUUUGGAAAAGUAGAGGAUUGAUCUCAUUUGACCCUCCUCUAACCUAAUUGGUAGGUAUUCCGACGCAACGGUACGCUCGGUUCGGCAAUCCGACGAGUGUACGCGGAGAUAUCGAAGAUCUAAGCCGCUAAUGUACAGAUUGCCACAGCACGCGGCGAAAGCUUCCAAAAAUCUUGGAAACGGAAUCGUAGCUUCAAGACAUCACCAAGAGGUGGGGGGUGUCAUCCUGAAGCAUUCGGGUUUCUUUUUAUGUCUAAGUUAAUUAUGUUGAUCAUAUUGCGCUAUAGGAAUAGUAGUUGUACAUUUCCAUUUCCUUGCAUGCUUUCUUGGUAGUGUAGCGGGGUGAGCUUGACACGUGGACUAGGAUAGCAUGAGGAUUGGGUCUUGUGACAUAGAAUCCUAUAGCGGCAUAAAGAGCCGAACUUGGACAUAGCCUAGUAGAGUGACAAUGAACUAGUGUGGUAGAAGCACUAUGACAUAAAUGAGUGGCAUGUAGAAGAAUUGAAAUAUUUACUACAGUGACUGAACUAGUGGCAUCGAGUCUAGUGUAUUAAACUUGACUUAAACUUAGGGAUAGUAGAAGUCCCAACAUUGAUUGUAUAUCAUGAUUGUGCAGCAGAGGCACAUUGACCCUAGUAGACAGGGUAUCCUCUUGAGAGGAUUGGAUCAUACUCACUAGUCUAUUUUGCUUGUCGGUGGUCGCUCCACCGAGGCACGAGUCUCCGGAGUACUUCACUAGGGGCAGACGUAGUUGUCCCGCAGACGGUCUGGGUGUGCGAGUGCAGCUUCUCCUCACCUAUGAGAUUGAGAGUGAGUCGAGGGUUUAACCUUCGGGUUAACCAAGUAGAUUGGGUAAUAAACAUGAAAUGCAUAGUAGACUUGCAUUAUUACCUUGAGUAGACAUAGUGUAUGUUGUAGAUUACAUUGCUAUGUACCUUUAUAUACUCAUGACAUGAUACUAGCAUAAUAGUAGUUGUUGCAUGCAUUAUUAUUAUUGAUGGCAUGAUAAAGUAGUUGCAGUUCAUUUUCUAUAUUAGAUAUCUAUCUCUCUAUCUGUGCCAGCUUAGACCUAGUGGAAAAACUGGCGGCGUCGGCGGCCGAACCCACUAUGAACUAUAUUCAUAUAGUUCUCACUCCGUGUGGUUUUGGGGUACAGGUACACACAGAGGCGAGCCAAGCGAAGAUCGCGGCAAGGGCAUAGCACCCUAAGUGAGUUAGUUAGUAGCUUUCCAUCAUAGAUUAGAGUACCCUCGUAUACUAGAUACCAUAUAUAUUUUGGAUAGAUGUUCGAGAGCUAUGAUGUAUUGGAAGAAAACAUGUAUUUAUAUUUUGGAAUAUGAAAAUGUAAUCAACUGAUGUAAAUGUUGAAUGGUUGUAAUAGUUAGACUAUCUCUUUUUAUACAUGUAUAUUACUUGUGGUUCUUGCUCUUAGAUGUAUUGCACUUGUGUGCAUCGUAUCGAUCAUGUAUGUUAUUUAAGCAUUCCCUGGCCGCUUAACUGUACAUGAUCUUGUUGCUUGGCCUUGGGCAGACAGGAGAGGUGCUGUUCGUUCGACGGUCCGUCCGGCGCGCCCGAACCGUGCUAAUUUGGUAGUGGAUUCGGGGUGGGGCGUGACAGAGAGUUGUUGGUAUCAGAGCAAUUAAGAGCAAGUAAAGAGAGAGUCUAGGAUGGACCUAGGAGACCUAGGUUGGCAACCCUAAGGUGAUAAGUACAUGAGAGAAACGUAAACCUGAAUUGGUUGAGAAAGAAUUCGAUUGGGUCGGAUCGAGCAUAGAUUUCUAGUGUGGCUAGAGAUAGAUCCGAACGGUGUUAGUUUCUUAGCUCGAGGAGUUUGUGUUGGCGGCCGACAACACAACGCUAAGAGUUAGAACUAAUAUACUAGUGUACGUCCGCUUAUGGCGGAGUUGAGUCGCGUAAUACCGCAUAUGCGACGAAAUUAAGUGGGUUAGAUGACUAACCCGGUUGUUGCGUUGCAGGAACGAUGUCCCCAAGACGCUACGUACGUAGGUCCGUUGCGGCACCGUAUUCUGAGGUGCCCGAGGAAACCGGAUCUAGUGAAGUGCAGGAACUACGGGCGCAGGUGUCGGCAUUGACCGGCAUUGUACAGCGCCAGGAGAGUCGGUUCGAGCAGCUCGAAGGGCUUAUGGAGCGGCAUUUUGCGGCGGCAACUGCAGCUGCGACUGAGGGCCGUGGUCCGCCCUCGCCUCCAGCACGUGCGCCUACGGCGGCUGAGGGCGAGGGCAUUGCGGCAGUUUCGGUGGCGGCACAUCCCCCACCGGCGAGCGUUCCUCCGGCGGCGUCGGGUUCUACGACACCCAAUGCGGCGGCAUUGGAGGCGGAGAGGAAGCGCGCACUUGCAGCUCUCGAGAAGUUCCGAAGGUUCAAUCCACCGACCUUCGAGGGAGAGAAGGUCGAGCCAUGGAUGGUUGAGUCGUGGGUGGACUCAAUGGAGACCUUGUUCGAGGACCUCUACACCUUGGAGAGGGACAAGGUCUACCUCGCCACUCAUUGCUUGAAGCGGACAGCGAAGGUUUGGUGGAAGCGAAUCAAGAGGAACCGAGCUUCCGACCUUCCGCCGUUGACGUGGGAGGAGUUUCGGGGAUUGUUUUAUGUCAACCACUUCCCCGAUAGUGAGAAGAAGAAACUCCAAGAGGAAUUUCCAAAAUUGAAGCAGGGUAGCCGCACGGUAGCGGAAUAUGAGCGGGAGUUCUCUCACAUCAUUGACUGCGUCCCCGACGUAGUGCGGGAUGACAGGGAUCGAGCCGAUUGGUUCGGGCGAGGGCUCCGGGCUGAUAUCUACUGGGCGGUGCACAUAUUGAAGCUCACUACCUUCGCGGAGGUGCUCGACAGAGCGUUGUGGGCGGAGCAAGGAAACGCCCACAUCCGGGAUGAGCGAGAAGCGUUCGAGAAGGACGGUGGUAAGAAGCGGGCUCAGAGUAGCUCGGGAGCUCAAACUAAGUCAAGGAAGCCCCCGAAGUACCCGCGAACGCAAUCCAAGGGCCGCGGACCGCAGCGGUGCACAAUCUGUGGUGGGAACCACGAGCCAAGGACGUGUGAUCAACGGGAAGGGAAGUGCUUCACGUGUGGACAGGCGGGCCAUAUCAGCCGCCACUGUCCAGUGAGGGCUUCGCCGGCCCCUUCGGUCACGUCGGCUCCGGCGACUCCGGCGCAUUAUGGAGGAGUCCCACCUGCUGCGUCAUCGGCUGGACGUGCAAUGGUACCACGCCAACCUGAGGCAACGAGAUCGGCUCCGAGCGGGCGGGUGUUCACCGCCCAAACUCAAGCCGAGGAACCUGCUGAGGCGGAGGACAGCCAUGUACUCGCAGAUAUGGUUUUAAUUAACGGAGUUCGCUCCAGGGCCAUGUUUGAUACAGGUGCUACGCAUUCAUUCAUCAGUAGGUCAUUUGCAUGCAUGCAUGACAUAGAACUACAAGAGAAUAAAAGCACUUGGAGGGUAUCGGGCCCUGGACGUGAUUUUCUAAUCCGGAUGGAGUGUUCGUCUUGUCCAGUGCGGUUGGGCGAUUGGAUAAUGCCCAUCCGUAUGUUGAUGUUCAAGAAGUUGAAGGACUUCGACGUCAUUCUAGAAAUGGAUUGGCUCUCGAAGUACUAUGCGACUAUUCACUGCAGAAGUAAAGUAAUAACGUUUCGAGAACCGGGCCAGGAGGAAUUCACCUACCAGGCCUGUAGAAGCUCGCGCUUCGCUGCUAUGGUGUCGGCGACGAGGGCAAGGAAGUUGAUUAACAGCGGUUGCGUGGCCUAUUUGGCGACCGUUGUGGAAGUCGAGAGGACGGCUCCUACACUUGAGGAGUUAUCCGUGGUUUGGGAAUUUCCAGAUAUGUUUCCCGCGGAGUUUUCGGGAAUGCCGCCAGACCGGAAGAUCGAGUUCGUGAUAGACUUGGUACCCGGAACCGCGCCUAUCUCGAAGGCCCCGUAUCGGAUGGCACCGGCGGAAUUGAAGGAGUUACGGGCUCAAUUGAUAGAUCUCCUCGAUAAGGGAUUUAUACGGCCAAGUGUAUCGCCGUGGGGAGCCCCGGUUCUAUUCGUGCAAAAGAAGGAUGGAUCGUUUCGACUCUGCGUAGACUAUCGCGAGUUGAACAAUGUCACGAUCAAGAAUAAGUACCCGUUGCCCAGGAUCGAUGAUUUAUUUGAUCAGUUGCAAGGAUCUCGGGUUUAUUCAAAGAUUGACCUGCAGUCCGGUUAUCACAAACUCAAGAUUAAGCCAGAAGACGUUCAAAAGACCGCGUUUCGCACGCGGUAUGGACACUACGAAUUCACGGUCAUGCCGUUUGGGCUCACUAAUGCCCCGGUAGCGUUCAUGGAUUUAAUGAACCGUGUUUUCAAGGAGUACUUGGACCGAUUUGUCGUGGUCUUCAUAGACGACAUUUUGGUCUACUCGCGCAGCGACGAGGAACAUGCCGAGCAUUUGAGAAUCGUGCUUCAAAUCCUUCGGGAGGAGAAGUUGUAUGCUAAGUUUAAAAAAUGAGACUUUUGGCUCCUAGAGAUUGCAUUUCUUGGGCAUGUCAUUUCCGAAGGAGGAGUAUCUGUUGACCCGAGAAAAGUGGAGGCCAUCAAGGAUUGGCCCCGCCUAACUAACGUCAUGGAAGUACGUAGCUUCGUGGGUUUGGCGGGUUAUUAUAGACGGUUGGAGGGAUUCUCGAAUAUUGUGAGUCCACUUACCCGUCUGACUCGGAAAGGCACCAAGUUCAUUUGGAGUAACGAGUGUGACCGGAGUUUUCAAGAGUUGAAUGAUAGAUUAACUUCGACUCCGGUGCUCGCCGUACCGGUGCAAGACGAAGACUUUGCGGUGUAUAGCGACGCGUCGCAAACGUGCUUGGGGUGUGUUCUGAUAAAGGGCGGGAAGGUAAUCGCUUAUGCGUCCCGUCAGUUGAAGAGCUAUGAGAAGAACUACCCUGUCCACGACUUGGAGUUGGCCGGAGUAGUGUUUGCUCUCAAGUUAUGGAGGCACUACUUGUAUGGCGCGCAUUGCGAGAUAUACACGGACCACAAAAGUCUGAAGUACCUGUUUACACAGAAGGAGCUCAAUAUACGGCAACGGCGGUGGCUGGAAUUGCUAAAGGAUUUUGAUGUUACAAUCCUAUACCACCCCGGAAAAGCAAAUAUGGUGGCCAACGCGCUUAGCAAGAAGUCAGUGGAGAAUCUUGCUAUGUUGGUCACACGUCAAGAACCACUGCGGAGAGAGAUGGAACGAUUGGAUCUCGAAGUGGUAGCUCCGGAAAUCCCGUCUAUGCUUACGGCUCUCGUUGCCGAACCGACCUUGUUGGAGCAGAUUAAGAGUUUGCAAUAUGCAGACCCCAAUCUCCAAAAGGUGCGGCGAGACAUCGAGAGUGGACAUGGCGGUGAUUUCAGUGUAGACGAUGAGGGUGCGCUUCGAUUUCGAAACCAAUGGUGCGUACCGGAAAACGAGGAGGUCCGGAAGUUGAUCUUGUAAGAAACACAUCGGACUCCUUAUAGUAUUCACCCGGGCGGCACCAAGAUGUACCGUGAUCUGAAGAUGCAGUACUGGUUGCCGGGUAUGAAAGCGGAUAUUGGGCGCUAUGUAGCGCAGUGCCUUGUAUGCCAGCAAGUGAAGGCUGAGCGGCGAUUUUCAGCAGGAAAGCUCUAAAGUUUACCUAUUUUCGUUUGGAAAUGGGAAAAUAUCGCGAUGAAUUUCAUAGUCGGAUUGCCCGUUCGACGGGUGGCCAUGACGCGAUCUGGGUGAUUGUGGAUCGUAUGACUAAGUCGGCACACCUUCUACCGAUUCACACCACCUGGUCGAGCGACAAGUUGGCGCAGGUAUACUUGGAUGAAGUUGUGAGGUUGCACGGGGUUCUGAAGUCGAUCGUGUCAGAUCGAGACCCCCGUUUUACUUCGCACUUUUGGAAAAGCCUGCAAGAAGUACUUGGCACACGACUCGAUUUCAGCACCGCGUUUCAUCCUCAGACAGAUGGACAGUCAGAGAGGACUAUACAAAUUCUGAAGGAUAUGUUGCGGGCGUGUGUCAUUGACUACAAGGGUAGUUGGGCAAACCAUUUAAGGAUGGCCGAGUUUGCCUACAAUAACAGUUAUCAAGCUAGCAUUGGGAUGGCACCGUUCGAGGUCCUAUAUGGACGGAUGUGCCGAUCCCCUAUAUGUUGGAGCGAUGUAGGUGAACCUGCGGCAUUGGGCCCAGACAUAUUGCGAGAGGCGGAAGAGAAGGUUCGUCUCGCUCGCGAGAGACUACUUACGGCACAGUCGAGGCAAAAGAGCUAUUUUGACAAACGCCGUAGAGACUUGGAAUUCGCGGUAGGUGACCGCAUUUUCUUGAAGGUUUCGCCGAUGAGAGGUGUGAAACGCUUCGGAGUGCGGGGAAAGCUAAGUCCCCGAUAUAUUAGGCCUUUCGAAGUGUUGGAACGGGUUAGAGCGGUAGCGUACCGACUUGCAUUACCACCGAAGCUUGCGGGGGUGCAUGAUGUAUUCCACAUUUCUAACCUUCGUAAGUAUGUCCACGAUCCCGAGCAUGUCCUGUAUUACGAACCACCGGAUCUACAAGAGGAUUUGAGUUAUGAAGAGUUCCCGGCGAUGAUCAUUGCUCGAGAAGUGCGGAAGCUAAGAAAUCGUGAGAUUCUCUAUGUGAAGAUUCAUUGGACCGGUCACGACGAUCGUGAGGCCACGUUGGAGCUCAAGGAAUCGAUGAAAGUGCAUUAUCCUCAUCUCUUUGAGGAAAUGCAAUGAGGUAUGAGUUAAUUAAGUUAAUGAAUUUGUUUCGAGGACGAAACUCCCUUUUAAGAGGGGAGGAUGUGAGGAAGUGAAUUCUCGAAAUACGAGAGUUAGACUUCAUGCGAAAUCGACCAAGGGUCGUGUUGGUGAGCUUUGGAAAAGCCAAAGAUGUUAAAAUCACCAAAAGUGCUUUGGAAACGAGUCCAUGGGAGCAAAUAGUGCAAAACCUGCACUGGAGCAAAAUUGCUCUCGGGGAUUCUUGAGGCAACCGGUCCCUGGCAGGGAGAGACCGGUCCCCGAACGCGAACCGAGCGAGAAAAGCUGAAAUUUGGCUAAGUCCUGAAAAUUCUACUCUCGGGAACCGGUCUCUCAGGAAGGAACCGGUCUCCCGAGGAUCGGUCUCUCUAGGAGAGACCGGUACCCGAACGCGUGACUCGAGCUGAAGCUCUCGGGGACCGGUCCCAAGUCGGGAAGACCGGUCCCUCUGGGCGCAGAAUGCCCAGUAAGGGGCAGUGCACAGAGUGAAAAGUGGAGGGGCUUGGAUGGAUAUUGUUACAUUAGAGAGUAUAGGGGACCCCCUCUCUCCCUCAGCCUCUCAUUUCUCCCCCUCUCUCACACUCUCUUGCUCUCUCUCUCUCUCUAGAAGAGAAGAAGAAAAAGAAGAAUAAGAAGAAAAGAGAAGGAAGAAAAGGAAGAAGAAGAAGAAGAAGGAGAUCAAGAAAAGAAAGCUUUUGGACUUCUCCCUCUUCCUCUCUUCUCUCUUUUAAGCUAGCAUAGAGGUAAACUUCAAUACCCUCUCAUGGUAGAUGUGCUAGGGUUUGCUUUGAUCUCUUAGAACCUAGCUAGAUGGACUCUAAUGGAUCUCUAGAAGUGGAUGAACUCAUUAUUUGCAUGAUUAAUUGCUAGUAGAUGGCAUUUUGCAAUAUUGGACUUCUAGGGCAUCCAAAAGAGGGUUUUUGGAAAAGUAGAGGAUUGAUCUCAUUUGACCCUCCUCUAACCUAAUUGGUAGGUAUUCCGACGCAACGGUAUGCUCGGUUCGGCAAUCCGACGAGUGUACGCGGAGAUAUCGAAGAUCUAAGCCGCUAAGGUACAGAUUGCCACAGCACGCGGCGAAAGCUUCCAAAAAUCUUGGAAACAGAAUCGUAGCUUCAAGACAUCACCAAGAGGUGGGGGGUGUCAUCC
rnacentral:lncRNA from 1 species